AUUGAACGCUGGCGGCAGGCUUAACACAUGCAAGUCGAGCGGAGAUGAGGUGCUUGCACCUUAUCUUAGCGGCGGACGGGUGAGUAAUGCUUAGGAAUCUGCCUAUUAGUGGGGGACAACAUUCCGAAAGGAAUGCUAAUACCGCGUACGUCCUACGGGAGAAAGCAGGGGAUCUUCGGACCUUGCGCUAAUAGAUGAGCCUAAGUCGGAUUAGCUAGUUGGUGGGGUAAAGGCCUACCAAGGCGACGAUCUGUAGCGGGUCUGAGAGGAUGAUCCGCCACACUGGGACUGAGACACGGCCCAGACUCCUACGGGAGGCAGCAGUGGGGAAUAUUGGACAAUGGGCGGAAGCCUGAUCCAGCCAUGCCGCGUGUGUGAGGAAGGCCUUUUGGUUGUAAAGCACUUUAAGCGAGGAGGAGGCUACCUAGAUUAAUACUCUGGGAUAGUGGACGUUACUCGCAGAAUAAGCACCGGCUAACUCUGUGCCAGCCGCCGCCGUAACAC
rnacentral:rRNA from 1 species